GGUAGUCUUUAACUGAAGGGCACUGACUGGGUCACUGGUGAAGUUCCCCGCAGGAACUGAGUCAGACCCCAUCUCAGGGCCCUGCACAAGAUAGGUGCCUGCUCUAAGGCGUGGACCCUCGCCACAGCCCUGGCCCGUCUUGACGGGCGAGGGUUACUGUACUUGUCCCAACCGUACAGAUGAGAAAGCUGAGACUCAGGGCCAGCAACCCGGGUCCCAGCGGAGCGCCCGGCACACGCCGACACUUCAGCACCAGUGGCGGUGGCCACCACUGUGGGCGGAGAUGGCUGCGACGCGUGCGCAGAUCUCGAUCCCAAACUCCCUCCUGCCAGAAUCUGGACCCGAAUCCACCCAUUGCCCGUUUUCCGCUGCCGCUGGAGAGAAUCUCUGAGGUCCCCAGGAGAGCCUGCCUGCACGGAAGAGACGCCUCCUCGGUGAAAUGGCCACCAGACCCAGGCUUUCUGGAAUGCAUUCAUUUUCUGCAGUUGAAAGGGACAAUCCCGGAUCUGAAAGAAAGAGCCACAGUGACUCCAAGAGUGGAGCCAGGGCAUGCUGGACACUGCAUAGCUAUGGCCACGUGUGUCACCUCCGAGGGAGAUGUGAGAGAAACGCAGAGGGAUCGCUUGUGACUGUGCCUUCUCGAUGUAUGAUGGACUGUUCUGCUCAAAUAGCAGCAGUAGGGCUUAUGGGAGCCAUUGUACAGUGACAGGAACAUACCAGGACACUGAGAAUAGCGUCAUGUCAUAAGGACUCAGAGCAGGUGGACCCUGCUGUGAUGCACAAAGGUGAGGGUGCAGCUGCCCAGGACACACUCAUGCAUGUUUGUGUGGACCAUGGAAGAUGGCAGGGGAAGAGCUGUCAGAGGACCAUGCAAGAUAUGAUAAAGAUCUAUGUCACUGAAUUUUGUUUCUGUAUUUGUAUCUCAGCUUCCCAGAAAUAAAAAAGAAUUCUAACAUUCAUA
rnacentral:lncRNA from 1 species